rnacentral:lncRNA from 1 species
AAAGGAAUCACUGCUUGUCCAUCAGAGAAGAAAUCAGGUAAGAAAAAUGUGCCACGUGGCAAAACCAGAAAUUUAAUGUACAUAAGCACGCUCGCAAAAACAUCAUUUGACAUUGGGCGUCAAGAAACUUCUGCCGAGACAUUUACUAGAUUUCCUUAUGUUACACAUGCUCAUUAAGAAAAAGAGAAGUACGUGGCACAUGGCUCUGAGAAAAAGGCAGAACAGCACUUUGUGACUGCCCUUGGAGUGGGAGAGGUCCGUGACAUUGUGCUUGGAACAUGCGCCAGCAGUGAUCGUUAGCAAACAAAUCCAGCCCCUCGUCAAUGAAGUGAAGACCUGGCUAAAAUGUUCACUCAAUCGUCCAGAUCACAAGCUGCCACAGUCCCUUCAUGUGUAGGGAAAUGCAAUCCCAGAGUGGAACUGGCUGCAGCUGGAUGCUGACGUGCAGGUGUGCAGCUGCACCCGGCAGAAGGCUGUCAGCACCUUGGGCUCUGAGGAAGCAACUCCCAACAUGCAAGCAACAGACUCAGAAAUGAGCAGAAACAGGGUUUUUCUGGAGGAAUGCAGAGCCAACUCAUCAAGAAAUAUUUAUCUCUUUAGAGCCUGAGAAGCCAGUGUAGAGAGUGCUACAGGCUUGGUGCUUUCCUGACCAGGUGGUGAGAACUUGAAGAAAAUGGAUUGAUGUGCUGCUGGCAACUGAGCCCUGGGCUUCCUUGCUUCUACAAAAAUUCCACCAUCCCUCGCUCCUAUGGCACAGAAGUAGAGAACUAAAAGACCCAAUGGAUUGAGAAGUCACAGUGGCCUCAUAGCCGUCCUCUUGAGAACUGUGAGAGGGAACAGCUUCCUUCAUAUUCAACAUGCAGGGCAGCCUCUUGGUCUUGGUGCAGUGUUAGGAAGGGAGGGAGUCCAGUUGUGAUGACGACAGAUUCCCCACCGACCCAGAGGAGGCAUCACAUUUACAUAAAAAUAAGCGCUAUCUCCCUUAUCUCUGGCUCUGUAAUCUGAGAUCUCUUUCCAAGGCACCGCCUUCACGGAGACACCCAACUACUCAGCAUUGACAGGGAAGUUUCUAAGGUUUAACGACUAAAACUGGUGUGUAUGUUGGAUAUAGCCCCCAAUGCUACAUUGCCUUAAAGUUAAGAUAUAAUCAGAAGUGAUAUUUAUGUAUAAAUAUGCAUAUAUAAUUAUGUGGGGUUAUCUUUUUAAAGGACAAGACAAUCCCAGUCUUAUAUGAAGGUUUGCAUCUUUGCAGGCAAGUUGAGGGAAAACAGCUUUAAUGGACUAGACCUUUUCCUUGGGGUUAAUGUGGAUGCCAAUCAAAAGCAAAAAUAAAUUUGUAGGAAUUGUAAGUUCCUACAUAUGUGUCUCUAUAAGGAUAUUAUAUGACCCAGAGGAACCCGUGAAAGAAGAUACAUUUUUGUGUAUAUCCCUUUAAGAAGAGAAGCUCAUCUGAUCAUGGCAUCUUAUUGGAGAAGGUAGUGGCAUAUCUUUCUACAUUUACUAAAUUUUAAAUUAGUCCUGAGCAGAAAUUCAAGGAUAAGGCUCAUCGGACUUGUGUGUAUUGGGUAUUUUCUCUUCCAAAAAAUUAACACAGAUGUGCCCAUCUUUAAUUUUCUAAAUAUCAUCUGAAAUGUUUUUCAUUGAGUCAUAUUCUUAAAGAAAGAACAUUACUAGCCAUAGGGAACUGAAGACACAGGCACAAGCAGCUAAUACACCUUUGAAGCAACAUUUUCUC